rnacentral:rRNA from 1 species
UACGGGGGGGGCAAGCGUUGUUCGGAAUUACUGGGCGUAAAGGGCUCGUAGGCGGCCAACUAAGUCAGACGUGAAAUCCCUCGGCUUAACCGGGGAACUGCGUCUGAUACUGGAUGGCUUGAGUUCGGGAGAGGGAUGCGGAAUUCCAGGUGUAGCGGUGAAAUGCGUAGAUAUCUGGAGGAACACCGGUGGCGAAGGCGGCAUCCUGGACCGGUACUGACGCUGAUGCGCGAAAGCGUGGGGAGCAAACAGG